GUUGAAAAGAGGGUAUUGAAAGCAUCUGCAUGAAUGAAUCACUGGGCUAAUACUCUUUUGGCAGUAGUAGUUGAAAAAGGCUAAGUAGUGGUCUUUUGGUUGUUUGCACCAAUUUCCGUGUACGGUGCCGUUUCAAGCAAACUGCCAAAGGAGAUUUGCCCAGCUUUUCAGCUAGCUCAUGCAUACAAAGUUAUCAUCUCUUGCAAC
rnacentral:pre_miRNA from 1 species